AUUGAACGCUGGCGGCAUGCCUUACACAUGCAAGUCGAACGGCAGCACGGGAGCAAUCCUGGUGGCGAGUGGCGAACGGGUGAGUAAUAUAUCGGAACGUGCCCGGUAGUGGGGGAUAACUGCUCGAAAGAGCGGCUAAUACCGCAUACGACCUGAGGGUGAAAGGGGGGGAUCGCAAGACCUCUCGCUAUUGGAGCGGCCGAUAUCAGAUUAGCUAGUUGGAGGGGUAAAGGCCUACCAAGGCAACGAUCUGUAGUUGUCUGAGAGGACGACCAGCCACACUGGGACUGAAACACGGCCCAGACUCCUACGGGAGGCAGCAGUGGGGAAUUUUGGACAAUGGGCGCAAGCCUGAUCCAGCAAUGCCGCGUGCAGGAAGAAGGCCUUCGGGUUGUAAACUGCUUUUGUCAGGGAAGAAAUCCUCUAGGUUAAUACCCUUGGGGGGAUGACGGUACCUGAAGAAUAAGCACCGGCUAACUACGUGCCAGCCGCCGCCGUAAUAC
rnacentral:rRNA from 1 species